UGUUUGAGAAAAUCCAUCAUGGCGCCAGU
rnacentral:piRNA from 1 species